rnacentral:rRNA from 1 species
AGCGUACACGGUGGAUGCCCUGGCAGUCAGAGGCGAUGAAGGACGUGCUAAUCUGCGAUAAGCGUCGGUAAGGUGAUAUGAACCGUUAUAACCGGCGAUUUCCGAAUGGGGAAACCCAGUGUGAUUCGUCACACUAUCAUUAACUGAAUCCAUAGGUUAAUGAGGCGAACCGGGGGAACUGAAACAUCUAAGUACCCCGAGGAAAAGAAAUCAACCGAGAUUCCCCCAGUAGCGGCGAGCGAACGGGGAGCAGCCCAGAGCCUGAAUCAGUGUGUGUGUUAGUGGAAGCGUCUGGAAAGGCGCGCGAUACAGGGUGACAGCCCCGUACACAAAAAUGCACAUGCUGUGAGCUCGAUGAGUAGGGCGGGACACGUGGUAUCCUGUCUGAAUAUGGGGGGACCAUCCUCCAAGGCUAAAUACUCCUGACUGACCGAUAGUGAACCAGUACCGUGAGGGAAAGGCGAAAAGAACCCCGGCGAGGGGAGUGAAAAAGAACCUGAAACCGUGUACGUACAAGCAGUGGGAGCACGCUUAGGCGUGUGACUGCGUACCUUUUGUAUAAUGGGUCAGCGACUUAUAUUCUGUAGCAAGGUUAACCGAAUAGGGGAGCCGAAGGGAAACCGAGUCUUAACUGGGCGUUAAGUUGCAGGGUAUAGACCCGAAACCCGGUGAUCUAGCCAUGGGCAGGUUGAAGGUUGGGUAACACUAACUGGAGGACCGAACCGACUAAUGUUGAAAAAUUAGCGGAUGACUUGUGGCUGGGGGUGAAAGGCCAAUCAAACCGGGAGAUAGCUGGUUCUCCCCGAAAGCUAUUUAGGUAGCGCCUCGUGAAUUCAUCUCCGGGGGUAGAGCACUGUUUCGGCAAGGGGGUCAUCCCGACUUACCAACCCGAUGCAAACUGCGAAUACCGGAGAAUGUUAUCACGGGAGACACACGGCGGGUGCUAACGUCCGUCGUGAAGAGGGAAACAACCCAGACCGCCAGCUAAGGUCCCAAAGUCAUGGUUAAGUGGGAAACGAUGUGGGAAGGCCCAGACAGCCAGGAUGUUGGCUUAGAAGCAGCCAUCAUUUAAAGAAAGCGUAAUAGCUCACUGGUCGAGUCGGCCUGCGCGGAAGAUGUAACGGGGCUAAACCAUGCACCGAAGCUGCGGCAGCGACGCUUAUGCGUUGUUGGGUAGGGGAGCGUUCUGUAAGCCUGCGAAGGUGUGCUGUGAGGCAUGCUGGAGGUAUCAGAAGUGCGAAUGCUGACAUAAGUAACGAUAAAGCGGGUGAAAAGCCCGCUCGCCGGAAGACCAAGGGUUCCUGUCCAACGUUAAUCGGGGCAGGGUGAGUCGACCCCUAAGGCGAGGCCGAAAGGCGUAGUCGAUGGGAAACAGGUUAAUAUUCCUGUACUUGGUGUUACUGCGAAGGGGGGACGGAGAAGGCUAUGUUGGCCGGGCGACGGUUGUCCCGGUUUAAGCGUGUAGGCUGGUUUUCCAGGCAAAUCCGGAAAAUCAAGGCUGAGGCGUGAUGACGAGGCACUACGGUGCUGAAGCAACAAAUGCCCUGCUUCCAGGAAAAGCCUCUAAGCAUCAGGUAACAUCAAAUCGUACCCCAAACCGACACAGGUGGUCAGGUAGAGAAUACCAAGGCGCUUGAGAGAACUCGGGUGAAGGAACUAGGCAAAAUGGUGCCGUAACUUCGGGAGAAGGCACGCUGAUAUGUAGGUGAAGCGACUUGCUCGUGGAGCUGAAAUCAGUCGAAGAUACCAGCUGGCUGCAACUGUUUAUUAAAAACACAGCACUGUGCAAACACGAAAGUGGACGUAUACGGUGUGACGCCUGCCCGGUGCCGGAAGGUUAAUUGAUGGGGUCAGCGCAAGCGAAGCUCUUGAUCGAAGCCCCGGUAAACGGCGGCCGUAACUAUAACGGUCCUAAGGUAGCGAAAUUCCUUGUCGGGUAAGUUCCGACCUGCACGAAUGGCGUAAUGAUGGCCAGGCUGUCUCCACCCGAGACUCAGUGAAAUUGAACUCGCUGUGAAGAUGCAGUGUACCCGCGGCAAGACGGAAAGACCCCGUGAACCUUUACUAUAGCUUGACACUGAACAUUGAGCCUUGAUGUGUAGGAUAGGUGGGAGGCUUUGAAGUGUGGACGCCAGUCUGCAUGGAGCCGACCUUGAAAUACCACCCUUUAAUGUUUGAUGUUCUAACGUUGACCCGUAAUCCGGGUUGCGGACAGUGUCUGGUGGGUAGUUUGACUGGGGCGGUCUCCUCCUAAAGAGUAACGGAGGAGCACGAAGGUUGGCUAAUCCUGGUCGGACAUCAGGAGGUUAGUGCAAUGGCAUAAGCCAGCUUGACUGCGAGCGUGACGGCGCGAGCAGGUGCGAAAGCAGGUCAUAGUGAUCCGGUGGUUCUGAAUGGAAGGGCCAUCGCUCAACGGAUAAAAGGUACUCCGGGGAUAACAGGCUGAUACCGCCCAAGAGUUCAUAUCGACGGCGGUGUUUGGCACCUCGAUGUCGGCUCAUCACAUCCUGGGGCUGAAGUAGGUCCCAAGGGUAUGGCUGUUCGCCAUUUAAAGUGGUACGCGAGCUGGGUUUAGAACGUCGUGAGACAGUUCGGUCCCUAUCUGCCGUGGGCGCUGGAGAACUGAGGGGGGCUGCUCCUAGUACGAGAGGACCGGAGUGGACGCAUCACUGGUGUUCGGGUUGUCAUGCCAAUGGCACUGCCCGGUAGCUAAAUGCGGAAGAGAUAAGUGCUGAAAGCAUCUAAGCACGAAACUUGCCCCGAGAUGAGUUCUCCCUGACUCCUUGA